rnacentral:misc_RNA from 1 species
CGCACCUUGCGCUCCCUGGUAUUCCGGGGAGCAUACCUGUUUGAGUGUCGUGAAUAUAUCUCAUUCGCAUUCAUUUUUGUUAAUGUCUACGGGUGGAUUUGGGGGUGUUGCUGGCUCUUUAGUUAGUCGGCUCCCCUUGAAUGUAUUAGCUCGGGUUAUUUUACUUUGGAGCGGUUCACGGUGUGAUACACUUAUAUCUACACCCUGACUUACUCUGGGUACCGGCUCCUAAUCCCUUCAUUUCAUUGACUCUGACCUCAAAUCAGGUAGGACUACCCGCUGAACUUAA